GAGGGCGCUUACCACUUUGUGAUUCAUGACUGGGGUGAAGUCGUAACAAGGUAACCGUAGGGGAACCUGCGGUUGGAUCACCUCCUUACCU
rnacentral:rRNA from 1 species